UACGUAGGUGGCAAGCGUUGUCCGGAAUUAUUGGGCGUAAAGCGCGCGCAGGCGGUUCCUUAAGUCUGAUGUGAAAGCCCACGGCUCAACCGUGGAGGGUCAUUGGAAACUGGGGAACUUGAGUGCAGGAGAGAAGAGUGGAAUUCCACGUGUAGCGGUGAAAUGCGUAGAGAUGUGGAGGAACACCAGUGGCGAAGGCGACUCUUUGGCCUGUAACUGACGCUGAGGCGCGAAAGCGUGGGGAGCAAACA
rnacentral:rRNA from 1 species